CAGCCGCCGCGGUAAUACGGAGGGUGCAAGCGUUAUCCGGAUUUAUUGGGUUUAAAGGGUCCGUAGGCGGACUUAUAAGUCAGUGGUGAAAGCCUGUCGCUUAACGAUAGUACUGCCAUUGAUACUGUAAGUCUUGAGUAUAUUUGAGGUAGCUGGAAUAAGUAGUGUAGCGGUGAAAUGCAUAGAUAUUACUUAGAACACCAAUUGCGAAGGCAGGUUACCAAGAUAUAACUGACGCUGAGGGACGAAAGCGUGGGUAGCGAACAGGAUUAGAUACCCCUGUAGUCCCUGUCUCUUAUAC
rnacentral:rRNA from 1 species